rnacentral:rRNA from 1 species
GAUGAACGCUAGCGGCAGGCCUAAUACAUGCAAGUCGAACGGUGUCUUCGGACAUAGUGGCGCACGGGUGCGUAACACGUAUGCAACCUACCUUACAUUGGGGGAUAGCCUUUCGAAAGGGAGAUUAAUACCGCAUAAGACAGUAACUAGGCAUCUAGUAGCUGUUAAAGAUUUAUCGAUGUAAGCUGGGCAUGCGUCCAAUUAGCUAGUUGGUGAGGUAACGGCUCACCAAGGCAAUGAUUGGUAGGGGAACUGAGAGGUCAAUCCCCCACACGGGCACUGAGAUACGGGCCAGACUCCUACGGGAGGCGGCAGUAGGGAAUAUUGGGCAAUGGACGCAAGUCUGACCCAGCCAUGCCGCGUGCAGGAUGAAGGCGUUAUGCGUUGUAAACUGCUUUUAUACAGGAAGAAACGACUCUUGCGAGAGGCAUUGACGGUACUGUAUGAAUAAGCACCGGCUAACUCCGUGCCAGCCGCCGCCGUAACAC